UUCAGAUCUCUGUGUGCAUGCGAUUACCUUUAGCCGACUUGUGAAAUGUCCAAACAACUCCAACUGCUUCCUAAGAUGAUAACACGGACGAUAAAGGAAUGAAGAGUAUGUCUGCUUCACUACGAUUGACAAAACUUGCACAUCUACUACUUUCAAGCUGGUGAAAGCACGACUUCAAGGUGUAAGCUAAGAAAGAAGAUGGUAAUUUCCGGCCACAAGUGUCAAAAUCUUGAAAUUAGGGUCGAAGAGAAAUAUACGUCUCCUUGCGGUAAACCAGAAUACAGCA
rnacentral:lncRNA from 1 species